rnacentral:rRNA from 1 species
CUUUAACGCUGGCGGCAGGCCUAACACAUGCAAGUCGAGCGGAUGAAGGGAGCUUGCUCCUGGAUUCAGCGGCGGACGGGUGAGUAAUGCCUAGGAAUCUGCCUGGUAGUGGGGGAUAACGUCCGGAAACGGGCGCUAAUACCGCAUACGUCCUGAGGGAGAAAGUGGGGGAUCUUCGGACCUCACGCUAUCAGAUGAGCCUAGGUCGGAUUAGCUAGUUGGUGGGGUAAAGGCCUAUCAAGGCGACGAUCCGUAACUGGUCUGAGAGGAUGAUCAGUCACACUGGAACUGAGACACGGUCCAGACUCCUACGGGAGGCAGCAGUGGGGAAUAUUGGACAAUGGGCGAAAGCCUGAUCCAGCCAUGCCGCGUGUGUGAAGAAGGUCUUCGGAUUGUAAAGCACUUUAAGUUGGGAGGAAGGGCAGUAAGUUAAUACCUUGCUGUUUUGACGUUACCAACAGAAUAAGCACCGGCUAACUUCGUG